CCCUAAGUGAGACCCUUCAUUCACAUGAAAGACCCUCUCAGUUUCCUCUAGCCUGAACGAUUUCCUCUUCUUUUUUCAAGCCAAUUUCUUCCAUUUCCCAAGCUUAAGAUCCAACCAAAACUUCUUCAGGGAGGACAAUUUUCAUAGCCGUGAAUCUCCAUAUUUCCUCUCAAUUUCUUGUUUGUUGCUUGUUUCCAUGUCUUGAAAGGAAAGCCAAGUUAGGGGUUUACUCUCAAGUUCAAAGUAAUCCAUUAGAAAAGCCCGCAGGUAAUGACGAAGGGGCUGGGGAGCAAGGCAUUACUAUAGAGAGAGACGGACGCUUAGUGUCUUCCC